GACGAAGGAUGCAAGCGUUAUCCGGAUUCAUUGGGCUUAAAGGGAGCGUAGGUGGCCUUAUAAGUCAGUGGUGAAAUCUCUGGGCUUAACCCAGAAAUUGCCAUUGAUACUGUAGGGCUUGAGUACAGUUGCUGUGGGCGGAAUAUGACAUGUAGUGGUGAAAUACAUAGAGAUGUCAUAGAACACCGAUUGCGAAGGCAGCUCACAAAACUGUAACUGACACUGAGGCGCGAAAGCGUGGGGAGCAAACAGG
rnacentral:rRNA from 1 species